AGGCAUGUUAUUUGGUGUUACCAUGGUUGAACUUGCUCUUGCUGAAUUGCUCUACCGCUUCGAUUGGAAACUGGCGAAUGAGAUGAAUCCAGACGAACUUGACAUGACGGAGACCUUUGGAGUGACCUGUAAGAGAAAGAAUGCGUUGUACCUAAUUGCCACCCCACAUUUUACUUCAGUCAAUGAGUCAGAGUGACUCGGCGUUUUGUUGCCAUGAAUGGCCAACAAAACCAGCACCAUUCUGGUGUAUGGCUUUAGGUUUGAAUUUUUCCUUUACAGAAUAAAACAUGUUUUCAGUCCAUCAGUUCAUCCUUGCAGUUUGCAGUUUGUAGAUUGUUUAAAUCCAGGCUUCUUUUCAUUUAGUACUUGCGUAAUAAAGGCAUGAUUAAUGCAAUGUUAAUUCAAUAUGUCAUCCCUAAGAUGUAAGCUUGUUAUUCAGAUAUGUAUAUAUGAUCAAUAAUACAUGUACUCGUGAGUGUUCUACUGCUACUCUUCUUGCUCUUCUUCUUCCAAAAAUUGUUGUCCAUAACGAUUGCCUAAGACAACGGAUAAGAAAUGAACUUGCUUAGAGUACGACCGGCAUCGGGAACCAGAGGCCAGGGGCGGCUCGGCCUCAAGAUUUCACACAUUAACAAUUAAAGCUAUGGGUCAAUGAUGCGAUCGCGAUCAUACUCAAUCUGCACUGAAUCUGAUAAUUAUUUGGUUUGUUAGGCAAACAAAUACAAAAAUGAUCAUGAUAACAUAUUCAUCGAUCAUGAUUCCAACCGAUGUUUUUUAUAGUUGUUGCAUAUGAAUAGUCAAUUCAUGUAGGUAAGAGAAUGAGACCACAUGUGACAAUUAGUUCAAAAUUUAAACCUCUACUUAAUCAACAUGAAAUAACAAUAACAAAACCUUAUUCCACUAAGUAAGGUCGACUGUUUAAAUCGUAGAACGCUACUACGCUUGAUUUUAUUAACAUGAAAGAUGCCAUGCAUCAUACUGUAUUAGUGUGAAAAGAGGUUCUUGAAAAUAAGUUUAGAGUGUUACUGUUAGUGGAAGGGGCAAAUAAUCUAUAAAUAUGCUGACAAUUUUUUAGGGAAAAAUUAUAUUAGAUAAGCUCAUUUCAUACAUUAUUAUUCACAAAUUUUAUUUUUUUUUAACAUAUUCACAAAUAUAUUAACCAAAGGCCUAAUUUUAAUACCAAUCAAUUUGAUCACAUUAAAAUUGAUCAAUUAUUGAUUGACACUUGAAUAUAUGCAAGCUAUAUAUUUAAUUUGUGUGUUAUAACAUAAGUGGACAACGACUUUAUACUUAUACAAUUAGGUAAAAUAUUGAUGAAUAAACACUAAAUAUAAUUGAGUAGAGCUAACAGCAAGUGACCAUGUUACAACCUCACUUCAAAGGUUUUGUUUUGUUGGGGAGGGGGAUCCAUAAAAAUUCAUUAUGAUACCUUGACAAAUAGAAAAUUGUACAGGCUAACUUAAGCAUCUUGGUUGAAAAUCUUGUUGGAAUUUAUUAGAUUUAUUUAGGAAAUUAAUUAGAGAUUUGAUUUGAUUUUGUAGUAGGGUAUUUUUGGCAUAUACGCAUUAGGGUUUCUUUGGUUUAUUGCUCUAUAAAUAGAGCUUGUAAUUUAGUUAGAGAAUAAAGUCAUUCACAAUGUAGUCUCUUAGAGUUUUGUAGCCGUCUCGGCAUUCUCAGUUUGUUCAAUAAAAUUCUUAUUAUUUGUUAGUCUUGUUCGUUGCGCACUCUGAUAUUCAACUUGGUAUCAGAGCGGGUUCGAUCCUUAUGGUUCAAUCCGUUCUUGUUGGUAUCAAUUUGUUUUGUCGCUUUUUGUUUUUUGGUUUAGUUUGGGUCUCGUUUAGGCUUUCGCUUCCGCUUUGGUCUGUGUCCUUUGUUCUUGGUCACUCUGUUUUUGUUCGUUUUGUCUUUGGAUAUCUGUUUAUGUUCUUUGUCUUUGGAUUUCGGUAUUGACCGUCAAAUUGUGUUAGUCUUGUCCGUAGAUUUUUUACGUUUUCUGGUUUGGUUUUCAGUUUGUCCUUGGUAGUCUUCAAGAAAGGGAGAAAAAAAAUUCUGUUUUUUGAAAAAAGGAAUUUGGUGAAUCCAUCGCACUAGGAUUUCUGCAUUCCCCAGCCCCACCCUGCAUCUGGAUCCGUCCACAACCGUACCCUCGCGAAAAAAAAAAAAAAAAAAAAAGGAGGCUGGUGAUGUUGGUUCGCACAGAAGAAAAAAAGGAAGGAGGUUGGUGAUGUUGGGUCGCACGUUGGUUCGCACAGAAGGUAAAAAAAAAAAAGGAAGGAAUCGCACAGAAGGAAAAAAAGGAAGAAAGAAGGAAGAAAAAAAAUAUUUGGUUGGAUUUUUUGUUUGUUUGUUAGCAUCGGCAUCGACAUUUGCACUGGUACUGGCAUUGGAAUCUUGCACUGGCAUGGAAAUCUUGCACUGGCAUUGGAAUCUUGCACUUGCAUCGAUGGAAUUUCGUAUUGAAAUUGGCAUCGGAAAUCGGCAUCGGCAUCGGCAUCGGAAUUUGGAGGCUUGCAUCCACAUCUGCUUGUUGGCAAACUCAUGUUGUGUACCGCCAUGAGUUUGACGGGGGGUGUUGGAAUUUAUUAGGUUUAUUUAGGAAAUUAAUUAGAGAUUUGAUUUGAUUUUGUAGUAGGGUAUUUUUGGCAUAUACGCAUUAGGGUUUCUUUGGUUUAUUGCUCUAUAAAUAGAGCUUGUAAUUUAGUUAGAGAAUAAAGUCAUUCACAAUGUAGUCUCUUAGAGUUUUGUAGCCGUCUCGGCAUUCUCAGUUUGUUCAAUAAAAUUCUUAUUAUUUGUUAGUCUUGUUCGUUGCGCACUCUGAUAUUCAACUAAUCUCUCAUGCAUUAUUAUGUGAUAUUUUAAGAACUUGCUUUGCACAUUUGCACUCCGAAUACAUUUAUUUUAUUUUGUUGUUCCAGUCCAAAACUAGUAUUUAAGUUGAGAAGACCUUAAGCGCUUUCAACAUAUCAAUCCAAAUUGAAGUGCUUUGAUUUGCAAAGUAAAAUACCCCAAAGUCGUAUGAUGAAAUUGAUCAAAGCUUAUCUGGAUCAAGUUAUGUUUCUAAUUGACGAAACGCCCUAUUUUCCUUUUUUCACUUCUCUCCUUGUCUGCAUCCUGGUGAUUUUUUGGAAGCUAUCCAGAGCCGGAGGCCUAAAGUCACCCCCAGGGCCAUGGAAGCUGCCUGUUAUUGGAAACUUACAUCAAAUGGUCGGUCAGCUGCCACACCACACACUGAGAGAUUUAGCCAAGAAACAUGGACCCAUCAUGUACCUUAAACUCGGUCAAUUAGACGCCGUGAUUAUUUCAUCUGCCAAAGCUGCCCAGGAGGUGUUGAAGACACAUGAGCUUACAUUUGCGUUUUUGAGCUAUUGAGUGCGGCACGUGUGCAGUCUUUCAGAUCCGUGAGAGAAGAAGAGGUACGGAAUCUUGCCGAGUCCAUUGGCCCAAUGUCUCACGAGGGACUUGCCAUCAAUUUUAGGGACAGGUGCUGCAGCUUCACAAGUGGCGUAGUGUCAAAGGCAGCAUUUGGGAAAAAAUGCAAAGACCAAAAGGAGUUCCUUCCGCUACUAGACGAAAUACUCAAACUUGAUAGUGGGUUUGAUAUUCCUGAUUUGUUUCCUGCUCUCAAAGACAUAAAAAGCAAGCUCAAUACGAUUCUCGAACGUAUCAUCAACGAUCAUAAAAUCAAAAGCAAUGACAAAGCAGUGGAGGAGGAAAAUUUUGUUGACGUACUUCUAAAACUUAAAGAGUCCAACUUGGUGGAGUUCAAUUUCAUAACCAAUCAUAUCACAGAUAGGAUUAUGGUGAGUAAUGUAGGCUUGCCUUGUUGUACUGCAGACAUUUUUUUCUUCGUCGUCACUCAUCAUUUUAUAAAAUUAUUCUCACGUUUUCAAAACACAUGAUUUUGGUUCCGCAAAUUGAAAAUCAAUUAUUAUCAUGCUGCACAUUUUGUCCCACACAUCAAUGUCGUUCUUACUGUCUAACUAGGUGAAAUUUUUUUUUUUUAUGUGCAGGACAUGUUCUCUGCAGGAAGCGAGACUUCAGCUACUACCUUAGAAUGGGCAAUGUCAGAGUUGAUGAGAAACCCAAGAAUCAUGAAGAGGGCUCAAGCUGAAGUGAGACAGUCAGUCCUCCAAUUUGAAGGGAAAAAAAGAAAAGUUAUUGAAGGAGGAGAUGUUCAAAAAAUGGACUACUUGAAAUCGGUGUUGAAAGAAACUCUGAGGUUACACUCUCCAGCCCCUUUGCUCCCAAGAGAAGCAAGGGACACGGUUCAAAUAGGCGGAUUCGAAGUACAAGUUAAAUCAAAGGUAAUUAUUAAUGCAUGGGCAAUAGGAAGAGACCCAGAGAUAUGGGGGGCAGAUGCUGAGUCUUUUAAGCCAGAGAGAUUUCAUGGUUCUUCUGUUGACUUUAAGGGCUUGACUUUGAGUUCACUCCAUUUGGGGCUGGCAGAAGAAUGUGUCCAGGCAUGUCAUUUGGUGUUACCAUGGUUGAACUUGCUCUUGCUGAAUUGCUCUACCGCCUCGAUUGGAAACUGGCGAAUGGGAUGAAUCCAGACGAACUUGACAUGACAGAGAGCUUUGGAAUGGCCUGUAAGAGAGAGAAUACGUUGUACCUAAUUGCCACCCCACAUUUUACUUCAGUCAAUGAGUCAGAGUGACUCGGCGUAUUGUUGCCAUGAAUGGCCAACAAAACCAGCACCAUUCUGGUCAAUCAAGAAUCAAUUGUUC
rnacentral:lncRNA from 1 species